rnacentral:rRNA from 1 species
GAGCGGUAGAGAGAAGCUUGCUUCUCUUGAGAGCGGCGGACGGGAGAGUAAUGCCUAGGAAUCUGCCUGGUAGUGGGGGAUAACGUUCGGAAACGAACGCUAAUACCGCAUACGUCCUACGGGAGAAAGCAGGGGACCUUCGGGCCUUGCGCUAUCAGAUGAGCCUAGGUCGGAUUAGCUAGUUGGUGAGGUAAUGGCUCACCAAGGCGACGAUCCGUAACUGGUCUGAGAGGAUGAUCAGUCACACUGGAACUGAGACACGGUCCAGACUCCUACGGGAGGCAGCAGUGGGGAAUAUUGGACAAUGGGCGAAAGCCUGAUCCAGCCAUGCCGCGUGUGUGAAGAAGGUCUUCGGACUGUAAAGCACUUUAAGUUGGGAGGAAGGGCAGUUACCUAAUACGUGAUUGUUUUGACGUUACCGACAGAAUAAGCACCGGCUAACUCUGUG